rnacentral:rRNA from 1 species
GACGAACGCUGGCGGCGUGCCUAACACAUGCAAGUCGAGCGAUGAAGCUCCUUCGGGAGUGGAUUAGCGGCGGACGGGUGAGUAACACGUGGGCAACCUGCCUCAAAGUGGGGAAUAGCCCUCCGAAAGGAGGAUUAAUACCGCAUAACAUGAAGGAAUCGCAUGGUACCUUCAUUAAAGAUUUAUCGCUUUGAGAUGGGCCCGCGGCGCAUUAGCUAGUUGGUGAGGUAACGGCUCACCAAGGCGACGAUGCGUAGCCGACCUGAGAGGGUGAUCGGCCACAUUGGAACUGAGACACGGUCCAGACUCCUACGGGAGGCAGCAGUGGGGAAUAUUGCGCAAUGGGGGAAACCCUGACGCAGCAACGCCGCGUGAGUGAUGAAGGUCUUCGGAUUGUAAAACUCUGUCUUCAGGGACGAUAAUGACGGUACCUGAGGAGGAAGCCACGGCUAACUACGUG